UUGAAGAUGUGAUGGGUAUUAGUUUUUUUAAGGAAAAGACUAUAUUUGGAGAAUUACAUGUAGUUUCUCAUUCCAUUCUAUGCUUUGAUAUGUAAACCAAAUCUACAAAUCCCUUACUUUAUGUAGACUUACAGAGUAGAACAAGAAAGAUGGAAAGAAAAGCAACAGAAAAAGUGGGUAAGAUAUGUCACACCAAUCCGCAAGCCUUUCCUUUCCAAGACAUCAAACAAGAAGUCCUCAGUGCCUGAGGGUCCCGUUGCAAAACAAAGCUCGCCACCACAGCCAAGGUCAUCCCUGGAGGGGGACCAUGAAGACAUUGUGGAUGAAAAGGCUGUACAUAGGGAGAUCUCAAACAAACCUAAGGCAACAGUAAAGACAACAGCAACCCCACAGCAUCAACUCACCUCUUUGUGGAAAAGGAGAGACACUGAGGUUGUGAUUUCUGUGAUCCCUACACAAACCAAAGGAACAUCAAUUGUCAUUUGUCACAGUGAGCUGCGUACACUUCGGCCACACCAGUGGCUAACUGGCAAGAUAGUUGAAG